GAGCAAUCUGAACUCUUAAGGAAGGAGGUGUACAAGCCUUCAAUUUAAACUGCACUAGCCUGAAGCAACAGUUGAAGGCCUGCACAUAAAAGACCCUCAUGCCCCUGGCUUUCUGAAGCACUUCGCAGUCAACACACUGAGCUUAGGACUACUGAGAGGAAAUGGAGAAAGCCAAAAUCUUGGAAAAACCUAUAUAAGUAUCAAUCCCCUCUAUCAUCCUCUUCUUCUGCCACCAUCGAUGCUACUGGUGAAUACUGUCACUGAGUGCUAAGUGUGAAUUGUACCUACAGAAGAUCACAGAGGCGUUAAGAAAGAUGUGAUUGCAUUUUAUUCCAGAUUUCUGCCCAUGGAUUUGCCAAUGCAGGAUGACACCUAAAGACUUUUUCCAAAUAUAUGUUGCUUCUCUCACAUUGGAAAUCAAGCUAAAUGGCAUCUUUCAAAAAUAUUGCAGGAUGAGUGUCUCAAAUACAGGGAAAACUGAAAACUGAGUGAGACAAAGUAAUGCUUUAAAUAAAUGGGCAGCAUGUGAGUACACUGCUGCCUCCCAGAUCAAAUAUCCUGCCUCUUCUUGCUUUGUGUGGAGAGUCUGAAGAGUCUCCUUGUGUUUCUGUUAUUUUUCUUUGCUAUAAGAACUUCACUUUUCCACCCACACCUCAAAGACAUAUAUUUUGGGUAACUGGCGAUCCUCAACUGUCCUUGUGUGGGCACCCUGGAAACUCGAACUGGAUUAAGUGGGUUUUUAUGCAUUAAACAGUCAAAGGAAGAUAAAACAAGACAUAUAACAUUUACUAAACUCAAUUAGAGCAGCGCAUAGAACUAA